GACGAACGCUGGCGGCGCGCCUAACACAUGCAAGUCGAACGAGCGAGAGAGAGCUUGCUUUCUCGAGCGAGUGGCGAACGGGUGAGUAACGCGUGAGGAACCUGCCUCAAAGAGGGGGACAACAGUUGGAAACGACUGCUAAUACCGCAUAAGCCCACGACCCGGCAUCGGGUUGAGGGAAAAGGAGCAAUCCGCUUUGAGAUGGCCUCGCGUCCGAUUAGCUAGUUGGUGAGGUAACGGCCCACCAAGGCAACGAUCGGUAGCCGGACUGAGAGGUUGAACGGCCACAUUGGGACUGAGACACGGCCCAGACUCCUACGGGAGGCAGCAGUGGGGAAUAUUGCACAAUGGGGGAAACCCUGAUGCAGCGACGCCGCGUGGAGGAAGAAGGUCUUCGGAUUGUAAACUCCUGUUGUUGAGGAAGAUAAUGACGGUAC
rnacentral:rRNA from 1 species